AAGAAGAAGACUACAUAGGCGACCUCUCUCAGUUCCUUCCUCCCGAAACCACUACCCCCUCAAAAUCUUCGGCAAAGGUUAGUUCCAAGUUUCAUAUGUAUAUGUAUAUAGAUAUAGAUAUAUCUUCACAAUAGAUAUAGAUACAUACGUUCUGAACAACAAUAACAAUAAUUACAUUCAGGUCUCUGCCAACAAUACCCAAAUUUCCCAACCUUCAGUCAAGAAACCCAAAACCCUAAACUGGCAAGAACAACGAAAACUCAAGAGAGAAAACGCAAGAAGAAGAGGACCGAAAUACCCUAGCAAGCUUAGAAUCAGCGAUUCCCCAAUCCAACAUUGGUUUCAAGUUGUUGAAACAGAUAGGUUACACACUAGGGUCCACGCUGGGGAAGGAGGGUUCUGGUCUUGCGGAGCCCGUGGGGCUUGAGAUUCGACAAACUCGAGUUGGGAUUGGUCAGGAGGACUCGAGAAAGGAGAAGAGGAAGAGGGAAUAGGAGAGGAUGGAGUGGGAGAGGGGGAAGGAGGAGGCGUUGAUGGAGGAUUUUGGGUGCCGCCACAAAGAGCAAUGGCGGAGCCGGAAGAUUGUGGUGAAUUAUCACAGGGCGAAUGCGGCAUUUGAGCAGUUGGAGAAUAAGGAGGUGGUGGCAGAGGCUGAAAAAGAUGAAGAGGAUGCCGAAAAUGAAGAGGAGGAAGAGGAGAUAAUAGCCGAAGAGGAUUUGCAAGAUAUAUUGAUAAAGCUGAGAGAGGAAUAUCGAUACUGCCUCUUAUGUGGAUGUUAAUAUGAAUCAAUGGAAGCACUCUUAUCCAACUGCCUAGGAACAAAUGAAGAUGACCAUUGAGAGAUUGUUCCUAAUAACACGAAUUUGUUCCACUACACAACUUCCAGAAGAAGAUGCUACUUUGCCCAAGUUAGGUAUGGAUCAAUUUGUCCUCGAUGGAAGGUUGUUAUUUCAAGUGGGUGAUUUUUAACUAAUCUGAUAGUCUCUUUCUGAGAGUGCUCAAAAACGGAAGGCAACCAAACCAAGCUUUGAGACAUCAAAGUGAUCAUCAGUUCAGUUGAUGUAAAGGAGGAAAAAAACACCAUACAUAUGCAUUUUUCGGUUCAAACCAAGCUUUACAGGGGAGGAUAGUGUCUGCUGGGCUCCCCUCACAACACGAGCAAUUUUUGUACAUGAAAAGGACCUCCUUGCAUGUUUAAUGACAGUGCCUUGUGUUAAAAACUUUGGCAAACAUGGACUUGUCUUGGUGUUUGACCUGAAAGAACUUAGAAAUU